GAUGAACGCUGGCGGCGUGCCUAAUACAUGCAAGUCGAGCGAACAGACGAGGAGCUUGCUCCUCUGACGUUAGCGGCGGACGGGUGAGUAACACGUGGAUAACCUACCUAUAAGACUGGGAUAACUUCGGGAAACCGGAGCUAAUACCGGAUAAUAUAUUGAACCGCAUGGUUCAAUAGUGAAAGACGGUUUUGCUGUCACUUAUAGAUGGAUCCGCGCCGCAUUAGCUAGUUGGUAAGGUAACGGCUUACCAAGGCAACGAUGCGUAGCCGACCUGAACGGGUGAUCGGCCACACUGGAACUGAGAAACGGUCCAGACUCCUACGGGAGGCAGCAGUAGGGAAUCUUCCGCAAUGGGCGAAAGCCUGACGGAGCAACGCCGCGGGAGUGAUGAAGGUCUUCGGAUCGUAAAACUCUGUUAUUAGGGAAGAACAAAUGUGUAAGUACCUAUGCACGUCUUGACGGUACCUAAUCAGAAAGCCACGGCUAACUACGUG
rnacentral:rRNA from 1 species